UUAUAAUGGGUGUUGUGUAGUAUCACAAUCAUAUCACAAAGCAAUAGUGCUAAGCAUCAUCAUGGCUCUCUCUUUUGGCUCCAUUCCUUUCCACUCACCAUAAAAGAAGACUUUGGAUUACCACUUCUCCUCCAAACACACAACAGAAAACCUAAAAUGGUUCCUCAAGUCAAGAUAUUCAUCAUCCUGCUUCUCCUUCUCUUUGAUAUUUCAGUAACAUCAGGUAAUUAUGAGAUGAUUAUCCAUGCAAAUACCUCAUUCAGUUCCAAGUUUUCUACAGCUGAGCUAGGUUGAGCUAGCAUGAUGAACUAAUCUGUUUUUUUGAUUCUGUAGCUGAUAAUAACUACAAGGAAGGCAUGGAACUUAUUUACACCAGUGAUCAUAAGGUAAGCUAUAUUAUCUACAGGUGAUGUAGUAGUUCUUAAAUAAGCAGUGAUUUUGUUAAGUAUCUUAGCUUAAUUCUUGUUCGAUUACGAUAAGAUCUUUUCGAUUACGAUGAUGUCUAUGCGAUCACACAGAUGAUUAAAGGGAGAAAGCUGCUUAUGGAACUUGAUGCAAUGUUGGAUUACCAGGAGCCAGGAGCCAAUCCUGGGCAUGAACCGCAUAAAGGAGGAGGUGGUGGCAAUAGAAGUGGUAGUCCUUGAACUAGCUUUUGAGCUCUUGUGAAAAAAUCUACAGGGAGCUAGGGAGAGAUGUCAUGCGUUUCUUAUAAGUGAGAUAAUUAUAUUAUUGAAGUGUGUGGAACUGUGAAUACCAUCAAUGUAUUUGGAAAUAUAAUUUUAAUUAGAAGCUUAAUUAUUGGAGGUGUGGAAAACCUGUGGUUGUUAUAGCAUACUACUACUGUAUAUGCUUAUCUUGAAUAACACCUAGAAUAACAGAUAAGCAAACUAUAUAUGUUGGUGUUAUAUAUGUAAUAUUGUGAUUAGUGUUUAACUGCAGUUUCAUGAUAUUAGUGCUAAGAAAAUAAUGACAUUUCAUGGCAGUAAAGUCAUAAUAUUUCUACUGAAGAUCUCUAUUUCAUAUUACAUUCUGCUAGCUAGGGCUUUUAUGUACUAAAAUCUCUGGAAGCUCUAGCAAAAGCAAGAGGUAGAUGAGAAAAAUUGGCUGCUUUGAUUGUUGUAACUUCUCCAAGGAAUUU
rnacentral:lncRNA from 1 species